AACAUCCCCCAUCUUGCUGACGGUGGGACAGAGCGUCAAGAGUCAGAAACCAACCUCUUUGCACAGUUUUAUCAAGUUAGGGGUUUAUUGAGCUUCACAUCUGCAAGAACUACGGUUGAUUGAGAUAUAGGCUAAAAAAACAGAGGAAGUGUGCAGUGACAGAAAGGCAGCCCACAUACAAGUCAAAACAGGAAAUAACCUUGAUGUUGGAAAGUUAUCUCAAAGUGAUGGAGACAGUGAAGAAGAUGGCUCCAUUCUCUGUGUUUCUGCUCUGCUGCUUCGCCGUCGCAACCCAAGGUUGUGACCAGUAUGCUGCAACAGGCGAAAACAUCACUGUUCCUAUGGAUUACACAGUAAAAUCUGAUGAUACCCUGAAGUGGAGGUUUGAAGAAAGAGUAAUAAUUUAUAGAAAAAAGCAAGGCCUUGUUAUUGGGAAAAAAGGUGAUAUUAAUGCA